GACGAACGCUGGCGGCGUGCUUAACACAUGCAAGUCGAACGGAAAGGCCCUGCUUUUGUGGGGUGCUCGAGUGGCGAACGGGUGAGUAACACGUGAGUAACCUGCCCUUGACUUUGGGAUAACUUCAGGAAACUGGGGCUAAUACCGGAUAGGAGCUCCUGCUGCAUGGUGGGGGUUGGAAAGUUUCGGCGGUUGGCGAUGGACUCGCGGCUUAUCAGCUUGUUGGUGGGGUAGUGGCUUACCAAGGCUUUGACGGGUAGCCGGCCUGAGAGGGUGACCGGCCACAUUGGGACUGAGAUACGGCCCAGACUCCUACGGGAGGCAGCAGUGGGGAAUAUUGCACAAUGGGCGGAGGCCUGAUGCAGCAACGCCGCGUGCGGGAUGACGGCCUUCGGGUUGUAAACCGCUUUCGCCUGUGACGAAGCGUGAGUGACGGUAAUGGGUAAAGAAGCACCGGCUAACUACGUG
rnacentral:rRNA from 1 species